AGUGAGGAAAAAGAACAAUAACAAUUGUUUUCACAUUUGGUAAAUAAGUGUAAAAAAUGUUCAAAUUAUAAUGUAAGAUAUUGCCUCCCGGGAACAAGUUGUUCAUCUGUUAAUCAAGUGAGUUUUGUAUCAUCAUGGAAUUGGAAUGCUUUUGGUAACUAAUGUUAAAUGCAAAUAGACUAAAUGCCCCAUUUAAAAGACACAGAGUGGCAAGAUGGAUAAAGAACCAAGACCCACUGGCGUGCACAAAACAGACUUUCAACCAACAAAAAUCAAAAAGACACAAAAGGGCAUUCAUUAUGGUAAAGGGUUCAAUCCAACAAGGUCUAACUAUUGUAAGUAUAUAGGCACCCUGCACCCGACACAGGAGCACCCAGAUUCAUAAAGCAAGUUCCUAGAGAUCUUCAAAAGACUUAGUCCCCCACAAAAUAUUAUUGGGAGACUUUAACACCUCAUGA
rnacentral:lncRNA from 1 species